GACGAACCGUGCGAACGUUAUUCGGAAUCAUUGGGCUUAAAGCGCGUGUAGGCGGGUCGGCGCAUCGGACGCUGAAAGCCCCCGGCUCAACCGGGGAACCGGCGCCGAGAUGACCGGCCUGGAGGGGGGUAGGGGGAGCCGGAACUUCCGGUGGAGCGGUGAAAUGCGUUGAGAUCGGAAGGAACGCCCGUGGCGAAAGCGGGCUCCUGGACCCCGCCUGACGCUGAGACGCGAAAGCCAGGGGAGCGAACGGG
rnacentral:rRNA from 1 species